rnacentral:rRNA from 1 species
UACGUAGGCAGCGAGCGUUGUUCGGAGUUACUGGGCGUAAAGGGUGUGUAGGCGGCCUAUUAAGUUUGGUGUGAAACCUCCAGGCUCAACCUGGAGUCGCCACUCGAUACUGCUGUGACUAGAGUCCGGUAGGGGAGACUGGAAUUCCUGGUGUAGCGGUGAAAUGCGCAGAUAUCAGGAGGAACACCGAUGGCGAAGGCAGGGCUCUCGUCGGCGACUUACUGACGCUGAGGAGCGAAAGCAUGGGGAGCAAACAGG